rnacentral:rRNA from 1 species
AGAGUUUGAUCCUGGCUCAGGACGAACGCUGGCGGCGUGCUUAACACAUGCAAGUCGAGCGAUGAAGCUCCUUCGGGAGUGGAUUAGCGGCGGACGGGUGAGUAACACGUGGGUAACCUGCCUCAUAGAGGGGAAUAGCCUUUCGAAAGGAAGAUUAAUACCGCAUAAGAUUGUAGUACCGCAUGGUACAGCAAUUAAAGGAGUAAUCCGCUAUGAGAUGGACCCGCGUCGCAUUAGCUAGUUGGUGAGGUAACUGCUCACCAAGGCGACGAUGCGUAGCCGACCUGAGAGGGUGAUCGGCCACAUUGGGACUGAGACACGGCCCAGACUCCUACGGGAGGCAGCAGUGGGGAAUAUUGCACAAUGGGGGAAACCCUGAUGCAGCAACGCCGCGUGAGUGAUGACGGUCUUCGGAUUGUAAAGCUCUGUCUUUAGGGACGAUAAUGACGGUACCUAAGGAGGAGGCCACGGCUAACUACGUGCCAGCAGCCGCGGUAAUACGUAGGUGGCAAGCGUUGUCCGGAUU